rnacentral:rRNA from 1 species
CGGCCCUCGGCAGACUGCUCAGUAACACGUGGAUAACCUACCCUUGGGUGGGGGAUAAGCUCGGGAAACUGAGUAUAAUACCCCAUAGGUCAUCUAUGCUGGAAUGCUUGAUGGCCAAAAGCUCCGGCGCCCAAGGAUGGGUCUGCGGCCUAUCAGGUCGUAGUUGGUGUAACGGACCAACUAGCCUUCGACCGGUACGGGCCAUGAGAGGGGGAGCCCGGAGAUGGAAACUGAGAAAAGGUUCCAGGCCCUACGGGGUGCAGCAGGCGCGAAACCUCCACAAUGCGCGAAAGCGUGAUGGGGUUAUCCCGAGUGCCGUCCGAUGAGGAUGGCUUUUAAUCGAUGUAAGGAUUCGAUAGAAUAAAGGGGGGGCAAGACUGGUGUCAGCCGCCGCGGUAAUACCAGCCCCCUGAGUGGUAAGGACGAUUAUUUGGCCUAAAGCGUUCGUAGCCGGCUUAUCAAGUCUUUUGUUAAAUCCAACGAUUCAAUCGUUGGGCCGCAAAAGAUACUGUUAUGCUAGAGGACGGGAGAGGUCGACGGUAGUCCAGGGGUAGGGGUGAAAUCCUAUAAUCCUUGGAGGACCACCAGUGGCGAAGGCGGUCGACUAGAACGUGCCUGACGGUGAGGGACGAAAGCUGGGGGAGCGAACCGGAUUAGAUACCCGGGUAGUCCCAGCUGU